GCCACGUGUCCCGAAAAAGUAUAGCCGGCCGGCUAUACUAUUUUUCAAAAAGAAAAAUAUAGUACAGCCGCGCGGCUAUACUAUGUAAAUAUAGUAUUUAAUAAGGAUAAGAUAUUACUUAAUUACAUAUAUUAAAUUAAGGAAGUUGGCCAAAAGAAAAAGUAAAGAAACUAAUUUUAUAUUCUUAAAAUUUAUACUUUUCAAAAAAAAAAAAAAAAAAAAACACAUGAACACUUCUCCCGACGAAAUUUCGUCGGCAAAGAUCUAUGCCGACAAAAUUUGCCGGAUUAGGUUUCCCCCGACGAAA
rnacentral:lncRNA from 1 species